AGUGAACGCUGGCGGUAGGCCUAACACAUGCAAGUCGAACGGCGGCACAGUAAGAGCUUGCUCUUACGGGUGGCGAGUGGCGGACGGGUGAGGAAUACAUCGUAAUCUACUUUUUCGUGGGGGAUAACGUAGGGAAACUUACGCUAAUACCGCAUACGACCUACGGGUGAAAGCAGGGGAUCUUCGGACCUUGCGCGAUUGAAUGAGCCGAUGUCGGAUUAGCUAGUUGGCGGGGUAAAGGCCCACCAAGGCGACGAUCCGUAGCUGGUCUGAGAGGAUGAUCAGCCACACUGGAACUGAGACACGGUCCAGACUCCUACGGGAGGCAGCAGUGGGGAAUAUUGGACAAUGGGCGCAAGCCUGAUCCAGCCAUACCGCGUGGGUGAAGAAGGCCUUCGGGUUGUAAAGCCCUUUUGUUGGGAAAGAAAAGCAGCAGGUUAAUACCCCGCUGUUCUGACGGUACCCAAAGAAUAAGCACCGGCUAACUUCGUG
rnacentral:rRNA from 1 species